ensembl:snRNA U6 U6 spliceosomal RNA
GUGCUCACUUCAGCAGCACAAACACUAAAAUUGGAAGGAUAUGGAGAUUAGCUUGGCCCCUGCGCAAGGAUGAUGUGCAAAUUCGUGAAGCAUUCCAUAUUUUA